UACGUAGGGGGCGAGCGUUGUCCGGAUUUAUUGGGCGUAAAACGCUUGUAGGUGGCUACGUCAAGUCGGACGUGAAAUCUCCCGGCUUAACUGGGAGGGGUCGCUCGAUACUGGCGAGCUCGAGGCAGGUAGGGGGAAGCGGAAUUCCCGGUGUAGUGGUGGAAUGCGUAGAUAUUGGGAGGAACACCAGUGGCGAAAGCGGCUCACUGGACUAUAACUGACGCUGAUGCACGAAAGCUGGGGGAGCAAACAGG
rnacentral:rRNA from 1 species